rnacentral:misc_RNA from 1 species
GAACGCACAUUGCGCCCCCUGGUAUUCCGGGGGGCAUGCCUAUUCGAGCGUCAUUAUCACCCCUCAAGCCUAGCUUGGUGUUGAGGCCUGCUGUCAAGGCAGCCUCUAAAAUCAGUGGCAGUGCUGUCAGGCUCUAAGCGUAGUAAAAUAAAUCGCUAUAGGGUCCUGGUGGACACUCGUCAGAACCCCCCCAUUUUUCAAUGAUUGACCUCAAAUCGAGUAGGACUACCCGCUGAACUUAAG